rnacentral:rRNA from 1 species
UUGAACGCUGGCGGCAGGCCCAACACAUGCAAGUCGAACGGUAACAGGAAGCAGCUUGCUGCUUCGCUGACGAGUGGCGGACGGGUGAGUAAUGUCUGGGAAGCUGCCUGAUGGAGGGGGAUAACUACUGGAAACGGUAGCUAAUACCGCAUAAUGUCGCAAGACCAAAGAGGGGGACCUUCGGGCCUCUUGCCAUCGGAUGUGCCCAGAUGGGAUUAGCUUGUUGGUGGGGUAACGGCUCACCAAGGCGACGAUCCCUAGCUGGUCUGAGAGGAUGACCAGCCACACUGGAACUGAGACACGGUCCAGACUCCUACGGGAGGCAGCAGUGGGGAAUAUUGCACAAUGGGCGCAAGCCUGAUGCAGCCAUGCCGCGUGUAUGAAGAAGGCCUUCGGGUUGUAAAGUACUUUCAGCGGGGAGGAAGGGAGUAAAGUUAAUACCUUUGCUCAUUGACGUUACCCGCAGAAGAAGCACCGGCUAACUCCGU